rnacentral:lncRNA from 1 species
GGGCCCAUCAAGAAGGGACAUACUUCUAUUGUGUGGUUUGUGGCAUUACAUCCAUUGCAAGUGGAUAUUGAAAUUUGAUUCACCUGGAUGUGUCCUUGGAGUUCUAAGGCUUCAAUUCUUCAAACUAGCAUAGCAAUUUUGGCCUCGAUAGUUAGAAAAAAUUGAACUUGAUGUACUUCCCCUCUUGAAGGUAAGAGUCUG